UACGGAGGGUGCAAGCGUUAUCCGGAUUCACUGGGGUUAAAGGGUGCGUAGGCGGUUAUUUAAGUCAGUGGUGAAAGCUCGCAGCUCAACUGUGAAACUGCCAUUGAAACUGAGUAACUUGAGUACGAUUGAUGUGGGCGGAAUGUAUCAUGUAGCGGUGAAAUGCUUAGAUAUGAUAUAGAACACCGAUUGCGAAGGCAGCUCACAAAAUCGCAACUGACGCUGAGGCACGAAAGCGUGGGGAGCAAACAGG
rnacentral:rRNA from 1 species